UUCCAUCAGUGUUCAUAAGGGAUGUUGGUCUGUAGUUUUCUUAUAGUGUGGCUUGCUUAGAGCAAAGGUGGUU
rfam:Macaca mulatta chromosome 10, whole genome shotgun sequence.